UACGUAGGGAGCGAGCGUUGUCCGGAUUCAUUGGGCGUAAAGAGCUCGUAGGCGGCUUGGUAAGUCGGAUGUGAAACCUCCAGGCUCAACCUGGAGUCGCCAUCCGAUACUGCCAUGGCUAGAGUCCGGUAGGGGCCCACGGAAUUCCUGGUGUAGCGGUGAAAUGCGCAGAUAUCAGGAGGAACACCGAUGGCGAAGGCAGUGGGCUGGGCCGGCACUGACGCUGGGGAGCGAAAGCGUGGGGAGCGAACAGG
rnacentral:rRNA from 1 species